GGCCGCCUGGCGAAAUGGCAUCGCGUCUGACUACGAUAUCAUUGCAAGGCCGGAUUCGAAUCAGGAGAUUGCAGGUUCGACCCCUGCGGUGGUCA